rnacentral:rRNA from 1 species
CCCUUAGAUGUUCUGGGCCGCACGCGUGCUACACUGAGUGGAUCAGCGGGUCAGGUUGCGCGAAAGUGUUUCCUAAUCUUGAAAUCCGCUCGUGAUGGGGAUUGACGGUUGCAAUUUUCCGUCAUGAACGAGGAAUACCUUGUAAGCGCGGGUCAUCAUCCCGCGCUGAUUACGUCCCUGCCCUUUGUACACACCGUCCGUCGCUCCUACCGAUUGAGUGAUCCGGUGAAUAAUUCGGACUGCAGCACUGCUUGGUCUCCAGGCUUUGCAGCGGAAAGUUUAGUGAACCUUAUCACUUAGAGGAAGGAGAAGUCGUAACA